rnacentral:rRNA from 1 species
GACAGAGGGUGCAAACGUUGCUCGGAAUUACUGGGCGUAAAGCGCGUGUAGGCGGACAGGUAAGUCAGAUGUGAAAUCCCUGAGCUCAACUUAGGAACUGCAUUUGAAACUGCCUGCCUUGAGUAUUGGAGAGGGUCGCGGAAUUCCUGGUGUAGAGGUGAAAUUCGUAGAUAUCAGGAGGAACACCGGUGGCGAAGGCGGCGACCUGGACAAUUACUGACGCUGAGACGCGAAAGCGUGGGGAGCAAACAGG